GAAGUUUAUCUAGACAAUCGGACUAUUUUUCUCAAACUGUGAGGAAACAAAGGGCUGGAUCAGGACAAAUCCAGUUAAAAAGAUUGAUUUCUGAUCAUAAGAAGACCUGGAGUGUGGACCAUGCAGUGAGGCAGAAGUGAGGUCUGGUUGUAUUUUUUUAAAAUGGCAGAAACAUUUUGAAAAGGCAACAUACAUAUAGAUAGGCUGAGACCGGGUAGAAAUAGCAUGGAAGAUAACCCCAGAAAGUAAGAGGAAUCAUAAGAAAAACUUUAACUCCGUGAUGGUAACAGCGUUAAGAUGAAGACUUGGGUUCAAGCCAUUUCUUUGGGAGAGGACACACAAAGCCCAAGUGAGGAAGUGGGGAAGGUGAGACAGGGAAGAGAGGAAAGCUUUCAAACAUGGCUUCCUGUUGCAGGUAACUGAGGCUUGGUUCCACUGGGGACUCCAGCAGAAGAAAGACCAAGUGGAGCCCAGCCGCAGUUGUUGAGUCAUGAGGGCGCAAAAUGGUUGUUGGUUUAAACCACUGAAUUUUGAGGUGGUUUCUUUAUGAAGAAAUAGGUAACUGAUAGAGUGGGGAAGACUGAUGAGGUAGGCAGAACGCCCCAAAGAUAUCUACUUCCUAAUCCCUGGAACUGUAAAUAUGUUAUAUUAUGCAACAAAAGGGACUUUGUAGAUGGAAUUAAGGUUAAUGACCUUAAAAUAGGGAGAUUAUCCUGGAUUAUCUGGUCCCAAGUUUUUAUCACGUAAACUCUUAUAAGUAGAGAACUUUCUCCAGCUGCAGUCAGAGAGAAGAGGCAGAAGGAAAAGUUGGAGAGGUUCAAAGUAUAAGACUUGACCCGCUUUUGUUGAAGGGGGCCACAUAGAAAGCAUGAGAAGAAGUGUGGGAAGUGUUGAAGGAGCAAAGACUGGCCCUCGCUGACAACCAGAAAGGAAACCGGGACCCCAGUCCUACAACCACAAGAAACUGCACUCAGCCAACAACCUGAAUGGGCUUGGAAGCUGAUCCAUCCACAGGCCCUGCUAUCCCCUUGAUUACAGCUUUGUGAGACUUUAAGCCAAGGACUCAGCAGAGCCACGCUGUACCUGGACUUCUGACCUACAGAACUGUGAGAUAAUGAGUGGGUGUUGCUUCAAGCCACUAUGUGGUAAUUUGUUACAGAGGCUACGGAAAACCCACACCCAAUGUGUAAACUGACCGCCGCAAGACAAUGAGAGCAACACGACCUUCAGGGAGUGUGCCGCCAGCAACGGGCAGAGGGGGAAACAGCCAACUCCAAAGGAAAGUGAAGAAGACUUUUUGGAGAAGGAGGAGUUUGAACAGGGCUUUGAAGGAGCAGUGUCUUAGGUCAGAUUCCCCCAGAAGCUGACCCUGCGACAAAGAUUUGAGAGCAAGCAGGUGUUUUAGGUGAUAAUCCCAGGAAAUACUAGUAGAGGAGUGAGAAAGUGAGACAAGGAAGGGAAGGAAAUAAAAAUGAAUAAUCAAGUAAGUUAACAACUGUAGGCAAAUGGAGCUUAAUCCUUCUGGGGGAUGCUGGGAAGCAGUGUAGACUAUACUACAGAACCACCAUAUUAAGGGACAAAAGGACAGGGUGUUGAUCAACUCCCAUCAUCGUUGGCUGAGAGCUUCUCCUGGAGGCGUUAAUUUCCUGGCACUUCCGGCCUGCCAUGUGUGUAUGUGGAGCAGGUGCCACAAACUUCAGAAAACUCUCUGGCAGAAAAUUGCAAGUGCUGGCAGUUGGAAGUCUGGCUGACAUCAACUGAACUCUUGGGGGCCAAGGGAAUGUGGGAGGACACCUACAACAUCUGCUGCAAGGGGUGAGGGUUUGCCAGGCAAAGGCCGGAGAAGGUGUUCCAGGCAGAGGGAGACAGGUAUGCCCAGAGAGGCACAAAACACAUGUGAAAGAGUGUCAGAAAGUGGUCAGUGGAGUCGAGUUUAAAGUCAGACAAACAGGGGUUUGAAUCCUGAUUCCACCACUUCACUGGCUGUUUCCUUGGAAACUACAUGAGGCUCUGGUGAAAGCUGUUUGGGGAAGAAUUAUUUCUACAAAUCUUUAUGGAUUGCAAUUGGAUCAAUGUGACAGGAGUUUAAAGGAAACCCUGGACAGCGACUUCUGGAAGCAACCCAUGAAGAUAUAAAGAAUGAAAUCCAAGAUCACUGUUCUAAAGUCAAAUUCCUUUCUGCUUAGGACAUAACUACUCUCAUGUGUACAAAAUAACCAUACUGCAUUUGACACUUGAACUGGUCAAGUUUGUUAUGACAGGCCUGUAUCUUAUUUAUGUAAAUCAAAAUAUGCUUAAAAUUUGUCUGGGAAUUUAUUGACACUUCUGACCCUAGGUUGUAUGAAACAGUGAUGAAUGCCAAAUAUUGAUAGACUAUUCAAAUCUCAAGAGUAAUACUGUGAAAUUGGGCAUGCCUAAAUGCUACGAUUCUCUACAGCUGAAAGAUGAAAUAAUUUAUUUUCUCAUAACUGUGUUAGAGUACAUAAUAAGAUUCUCCUGAGAAAUGUA